rnacentral:rRNA from 1 species
UAGACGAACAGGUUUGGAUGCCUGACCGUAGAGGGUGAGAGUCCCGUAGUCGAAAUGUGUUCCGCCGCUGUUGGAGGGUUGCCCGAGUAGCACGGGGCCCGAGGAAUCCCGUGUGAAUCUGCCAGGACCACCUGGUAAGCCUGAAUACUACCUGUUGACCGAUAGCGGAUCAGUACCGUGAGGGAAUGGUGAAAAGUACCCCGGGAGGGGAGUGAAAGAGUACCUGAAACCGUGUGCCUACAAGCCGUCAGAGCCUUCGACUUUGUUGUGGGGUGAUGGCGUGCCUUUUGAAGAAUGAGCCUGCGAGUUAGUGAUGCGUGGCGAGGUUAACCCGUGGUGGGGGAGUCGUAGCGAAAGCGAGUCCGAUAAGGGCGUGAGUCGCGUGUUCUAGACCCGAAGCGGGGUGAUCUACCCAUGGCCAGGUUGAAGCACGUGUAAGAGCGUGUGGAGGACCGAACCCACCUAGGUUGAAAACUGGGGGGAUGAGCUGUGGGUAGGGGUGAAAGGCCAAU